AUGGGGCAGUGGAAUAAACUGUUGGACAUGGAGGAGGCCAAGAACCAGGUCUUGUUUUUCUUGCCAAUGAUUCUUACCAAUGUUUGCUAUUACACGAUCCCCUUGAUAUCUGUCAUGUUUGCUGGUCACCUUGGUGAGCUUGAGCUUGCUGGUGCCACACUUGCCAAUUCAUGGGCCACCAUUACCGGUUUCGCUCUCAUGGUUGGGUUAAGUGGAGCUCUUGAGACGCUUUGUGGACAAAGGUUUGGUGCAAAGUUGUAUAAAAUGUUGGGGAUCUAUCUACAAGCCUCUUGCAUCAUAUCUUUCCUAUUCUGUUUCAUCAUAUCUAUAAUCUGGUUCUACACAGAACCUAUACUUAUUGUACUCCAUCAAGAUCCUCAAAUUUCCAAGUCUGCUGCUGUUUUUAUGAAAUUUCUGAUUCCAGGGUUAUUUGCAUAUGGAUUCCUGCAAAACAUCUUGAGAUUUCUUCAGGCACAAUUUGUUGUCCUGCCAUUGGUCCCCCUUAUUAUUCAUUUCGGCAUUGCUUAUGGUUCGGUACAUUGGACAGCUCUUGGUUAGAAGGGAGCUCCACUUGCGGCUUCAAUUUCGUUAUGGUUAUCUGCCCAUGUAUGUCAUCUGCUCAAAGAAGUUUGAGCAUACAUGGGAAGGCUUUUCGUUAGAAUCGUUCCAUUAUGUCCUUACUGAUUUGAAACUUACCCUCCCUCAGCACUAAUGGUAUGUUUGGAGGAAUGGGUUUUUGAGAUUCUGGUGUUGAUGGGAGGAUUGAUGCCAAACUCGGAAGAAACAACUUCACUAAUGGCGAUGUGUGUGAAUACAGAAGCAAUUGCAUACAUGAUUAUAUGUGGCCUCAGUGCUGCUGCAAGCACAAGGGUGUCAAAUGACUUGGGAGCUGGCAAUCCUGACAAAACUAAGAAGGCAAUGGCUGCGACUCUUAAGCUCUCUAUGCUUCUUGCUUUCGUUCUUGUUCUCACUCUAGUGGUCGGUCACAAUAACUGGGUCGGCUUCUUCAGUGACAGCCACAUAAUAGCAGAGCAAUUUGCUUCCAUGGUGCCUUUGCUUGUAAUUUCAAUAAUUGUAGAUUCUGUGCAAAGUGUUUUAUCAGGUGUGGCCAGAGGAUGUGGAUGGCAACACUUGACUGUGUAUGUAAACAUUGUCACAUUCUAUUUGAUUGGCAUGACAAUUUCCAGUCUUCUUGAGUUUAAGUUCAAACUACAUGCCAAGGGCUUGUGGAUUGGUUUAACCUGUGGUCUCUCCUGUCAAGCUGCCACAGUUUUGUAUAUUACACAGAGCACAAAGUAGACUGUGUUGGAUUUAUCUGAUAUUGCAGAGAGAGAAAAGCCAGUUUUGGUGUAAACAAGUAAUACCACUUGGGCCAACUGUGAGACUAGUUUGUGCAUUGCCUUUGUGGUGUGUUGAAGUAAAGCCGAAAGCAUGUACUUUGUUAACAAAUUUUUAUGCCCUUAAAUUUGACUUAGCUUUGAAAGCACAAAUGCCCUUAAAUGAAAGAA